CCGGUCUCCUCCCGCCCCGCCGGUGCCUGGGGGCGGCGGGGAGGGCGGUCGGGCCGCUGCUCCGGCAGCCCGCGCGGGGGAGCCGGCCUUCCCCCUCCCCGGCCGCAGUACCGCCGUCGGCACCCGGGAAAGCAAAUUCCAUUAUUGCAGACAAUUUCGGGGAACCUGCUGUCAGUGCUGUGACUUUUGCAUUUGUGCCCCCUUCUGGUCCCCGUGAACGAGCUUCCACACGCCCGGGACUGCAAUUUUACAGCGCUUCCUCUCCUGACCAGGCGCAACAGCGCAGCCCUGCACUCAAAAAGGAGGUGAGAAGGACCCAGGCACAUCCGUGACUUUCUGCAUUAAGGAGGAGCAGAACUGGGACCCCUCCAUGAGGGAAGGU